rnacentral:rRNA from 1 species
CCUACGGGAGGCAGCAGUGAGGAAUAUUGGUCAAUGGGCGCGAGCCUGAACCAGCCAAGUAGCGUGAAGGAUGACUGCCCUACGGGUUGUAAACCUCUUUUAUAAAGGAAUAAAGUGAGGCACGUGUGCCUUUUUGUAUGUACUUUAUGAAUAAGGAUCGGCUAACUCCGUGCCAGCAGCCGCGGUAAUACGGAGGAUCCGAGCGUUAUCCGGAUUUAUUGGGUUUAAAGGGAGCGUAGAUGGGUUGUUAAGUCAGUUGUGAAAGUUUGCGGCUCAAACGUAAAAUUGCAAUUGAUACUGGAAGUCUUGAGUGCAGGUGAAGUAGGCGGAAUGCGUGGUGUAGCGGUGAAAUGCUUAGAUAUCACGAAGAACUCCGAUUGCGAAGGCAGCUUACUAGACUGCCACUGACGUUGAUGCUCGAAAGUGUGGGUAUCGAACAGGAUUAGAUACCCGAGUAGUC